GGAGGGUUCGCAUAGCGGCCGAGUGCGGCGGUCUUGAAAACCGCUAGGUCCUCCGGGGCCUCGUGGGUUCGAAUCCCACACCCUCCG
rnacentral:tRNA from 1 species